rnacentral:rRNA from 1 species
AGAUGGCGACCGGCGCACGGGUGAGUAACACGUAUCCAACCUGCCGAUAACUCGGGGAUAGCCUUUCGAAAGAAAGACUAAUACCCGAUGGCAUAGUUCUUCCGCAUGGUAGAACUAUUAAAGAAUUUCGGUCAUCGAUGGGGAUGCGUUCCAUUAGGUUGUUGGCGGGGUAACGGCCCACCAAGCCUUCGAUGGAUAGGGGUUCUGAGAGGAAGGUCCCCCACAUUGGAACUGAGACACGGUCCAA